GGAUGGCAAAUAAAGCAGAGAAUACAAGAGAAUUAGGAACCUUUGCCUCAGAGUUCCAAAAAAAUUUGUUUUAACUUGCUAACUUUAUCACAGAGGCAAGGAACUACUUCUUGGCCUCAUCAAUGACAUCAUUCUGAAUGAUGAAAAUAUACUUAUUAUGUCAAGUUCCAUUAUGACAGCAUAAUUAUCAGAUCCUACAGAAUGUGGACUGUGUAAUAACGGAAGAGUAACUCCAAGAGUAACCAAGAAAGCUAUAAAGAUUCUUCAUACAUUAUUUACUUUUACCCAUUUCUAAAAGGUUGUGUGCACGGAUGUGUAGAGACAAAAGAAGGGAAAACCAAUAGAAAGGAUUUGACAAGAAAAAUUUCACUACCUCAUCCUGAAGCCUCAUGAACGGAACACUUGGACACUGGGUUGGGGAAGACCUGGUGGUGGAAAGGAAUGGUGAUGGUGAGUCUUUCAGUAUUUCUUCAGUGGAACAGGGACACCAACAGACAGCAGGGGAAAUGUGACUGACCAUUUGAUACUCAAGAUCUGAGGCAAGCAAGCAGGAGGCAGCCUGAGAAGGAGUCCAGAGAAUCACAACAGCACAGGAGAUAAGGAAAGAACAGCCAGAGAAGGAACCACUGAUGGAUAAAAGUGAUGGACCAGACACAAGUGGAACAUAGGGUUCCCCAAAUCCCAGCAUUUGCCUUCUGCCAUCACAGAUUUUGUCAUUUGCAGAGCUGGGCACAUAGCAGACUGAGGAAUUUCACUGGUUCCAAAGCCAGCUACUGCCACACUCCCUCUUUGCGGUCUCCAACAUAUACCUCAGAGAUGGAAUCACCACACAAACUUCUUUCCACCAUGAAAGAAAGUUGACAGCAUAUCAAAAGGAAAGGCUCAUCUCUGCUACAGAACCUUUGAGACCUAUCUUAAAGUAUACCAUGGAGAGGGGUGUAGUUACAUGAUUUAGGGCCCACCACCCAAAAGUUACCUGUACACUGUCUCCCCCUGGUUUGCUCCAGUCCUUGUGACAGGUGACCAGUUCCUCCACAUCACAAUCAACCUGUCUCCCUUGGCUAUCCCUUCCCUCCUCCAGCAAGCCAGCCUUCCUAAGCUUUCUGCCACUGCAACCCCAGCUUCCCACUCUCACCCUGGGCCAGAGCCCGAAGGACUAAAGAAAGGAUAAAAGAUGCAGAGACAGAGAAGCACAGAUGCUCUGGGGACAGGAUCAGGAAGGCAUCAACAGCGGUUUGCACUCAGAGGGACGUGGAAAUCCACCAAUCCCUCUGCUGAGCAGCCCUUCAGCAUAUACUGCUCCUUUUCCCCCAAGGUCUUACCUCUACAGAGAUGCCUCGGGCACUGGGCCCCAUGGUGACUGUGCCCACCUUCACUAGGAAAUCACAGUACUGGUAACGGGUACCCCGGGUCUCAAUCUUGCUGGCCUUGGCACUCUGGAAAAAGCCCUUGAGCUUCACCAUGAGCACAUCGAAGUUGGUGUCGGCAAUAAGGCAAGGGCCAUUCUCAAAAAGGGCGAAGCAGCUCAAAGGGUACUCUGAGUUGUGCAUCACGUACAUCAGUUUCCCGGCCUGACCUACAGGGACAGAGAGCCUAUCAGCAUCAGGAUCUUUGUUGGCAAGCCUCGGAAUAGUCAAAUGCAUGGAACAGGGCCAGAUGGCAAUCUGCCACUACCUCAGCCAUCUUGGAGGGCAAUGGAGGGUAAUCCCCUCACCAACAGUCUGUUCCACAAAGAGGAAGGAAGAAGAGCAGUGGGCAAGGCAGUAUGUGGUAAAAGCUCAUUCCCCAGGAAAUAUGAGGAGCAUAAGGGAACUUCCAUAGCACUGAAGAGGCCCCACAGAAGCAGCAAAGGGGAGUAUCUGAGCUUGAGGCUGGAAAGGAAGGCCAGAGUGAAGCUAUGGUCAAGUUACUGCAGAGCCAAGACUAAGAGAAUCCAAGUUCCUAACUCCUAUACAAAGGUUCUCUAACACAGGAAACAACAGAUGUUGGCAAGAAUGCAGAGAAAGGGAUCUCUGGGUGGCGCAGCGGUUUGGCGCCUGCCUUUGGCCCAG